AUUGUGAAUCUACAGGCCAUUCAUCACAAAAUUUUGAAUCUCCUAGUCCAGCUGCGUCGUCGACAAUGGAUUCCGAUAUAUAUGAUAUGUACACACAUUUAUAAUAAUAUUUAAUAAAUGCUUUCGUUAUUACUUACCUGAGUGUUAUUGCUACCCUUUCUUGAACAGUUAUUCUUUGCAUAAUAUUCCAAUUUUUCUUUGAGACCGUAUUUUUAACAUUAUUGCAUAAUGUAUCAAAUGUACUAGGUGUCAUACGGUAAUAAGCAAAGAACUUAUCUUCAUUCUCGCGUAAUGUUAUAUGUAACGUGUGAAACUGUCCGUUAGUAAAUCUAUUUCUAUUUAUUGGAUGAACAGAAUAUCUCCUCUGUCUUCUUUUCUUUCUUAAAUGUCUGACAGCUAGUAAUGCUACACAAGCAUCAUCAACGAAAUCCAUCUUUGAAUUGCCAACAAACUGCACUACAUGACGAAUUUGUUCGACAAUGUCGUGUCGCGGACAGUUUCAAUUACUAGCGACAGCGACACGACAUUGUCGCCGCGACUUUGUCGAGACUAUGUACCUAGCCUUAGAGGACAAAAAGAAAGCAGUUUUUAAUUACAGACUAUCUCGGGCUAGAAGAGUAACAGAAAACGCUUUUGGUAUACUUUGCCAUGUACAGUAUGUCCACGGAAAAGGUGUUGAAUAGGAAAAACCUUUUUAUUUUUAAUUUUAUCGAAAAAUUUAAUUUUGAUAAAAAAUUUUGCUAGUUCUUAGAGUAAGAUUUGGAUAGAAACAUUUAACAUAUUUUAUACGCGGUGUUCAGAAAAUUGAAAAAGCUUUAAAUGGUACAAGAAUAAAGUGCAUUUAUUUGAGUAGACAAGGAAAUAAGCUUCUAGGAAAAGUUGUUCAAAAGUAAAAGGUAGUAAAAGGUAGGUACCAAUUUUCGAAAAUAUCGGCCUACUUUUUUUAAAACAAUAAGUGGAAUUAAUAUAAACGUGUAAGUAACAUAUAAAUGGAACACAACCAGAAGGAAGGACACCUUUACACGUUAAGGACAGGAAUAACUGAAAGGAAAAUUUAGCAGCGCCGGGACUCGAACCUAGGUCUCCCGUUUGCCGGACGGUUGCACUGACCUCUAUGCUACGCCACAAGUAAUCACAAAGGAAUCCUUGUCUGUUAAUUUCCCUACACCUUCUGGCGUAGCAUAGAGGUCUGAGACUACUUGCCGUAAAAUAAUUUUGAAGGUUUUAAGCACUGAAUCAUUGUUGCGAAUACCUAGAGAAGAGAAGAGAUACGAUGAAAUUGAUGCAAGCACUUUGUUGGUAUUACAUUCAGUAGAGGAACACCCGAAAUUAUCAUUAAGAAUAAGAGCUGAAAAUCUGCAAUUUGUUAAAAAGUCGCAAAUUCAGAUGAUAUUAAAACACAACAAGAUACAUCCAUACAAGUCAGCUUUUAAUCAUGUUUUGGACGUCGGCGAUGAAGCAAAACGUUUGGAUUUUUGUUUGUGGGUUGGCAGUAUGGAAAGGGAAUUUCAUAAGGAAAUAAUGUUUAUUGAUGAAUCAACUUUUUCGACCAAUGGUGUUGUGGCUUCGCAACAUGCACGAUAUUAGAGUGACUCUAAGCCCUGCCAUAAACUAACCCGCUAACGAAACUCCACGUAUGCUGUCCUCCUACGAAAAUCUUAGCAAUACGGAACAUUCACAUUCAGAAAAUCAAAAUAGUCUGAUUCUUGGUCAGUAUUUACGUUUUAAAUGAAUACUAUGUAUUCGCUGUUUAAUUUCAAUAAAUACCUUAAACAAACAGCAAGCCUUUCUUCUGGACCUAAUAGCCUCCCGAUAUGUUGUAUUUUGCCUUAAUAAAUGUGGUUUCAGGAUGUCAACAAAUGCAGUAAAUUAAGUUUGAGACAUACGAAAAUAUUGUAAGAAUUUGGCGUCAUCAUUUAGCAAAUCAGGAAAUAGUGUGUAAUAUUCUCCAUGUUGCGAUCUCUUUUUAAAUAUGUCGUGUACCCAUAUAUUAUGUUUUCUUUUUUUAGAUGAUUUAGCUUAUUUAGCUUUUGUUUCUUCUUCUGCUAACAAACAAGCAAUUACAACAAAUUCUUCUUCUUCGUUUUCCUCCAUUAUCUUGGACAUUCCACCGAACACUAAGCUACCUUUCACUACGAAAAUCCGAAUGAAAGUGCCGUCGGCGAUCCGAUUGCUGAUAGUUACAUCGGAAAAUCCGAGCGCUGCUGAUACUGUGCACGCAUUGUAAAAAAAUAAUCCGUUUGAUGCGAUGCGUCCGAUACUUACGAUGCAAACGUAAGCAAUGUGGACCUUAAGUCGUCGUAAGGAAAACAUACAGAUUUAAAAAACGUUGUAGGUUUUUUGUAGGUCGACGACCGGCGACCAUGGAGAAAACGUUCCUUAUAGCUAUUAACAUCCCAGAGCAAUGAAUAGUCACGUUAGCCGCUGUCCUAAUAUCAGUGCAGCAAUGGAAAAAUUUAAUGUUUUUGUGAAUAUAAACAGGUAAACCAUUCAAAUGUGACGAACCUGAUUCCAAUAGAUUACAAAAUAAAAGUAAUUAACACUGCAAAUAUUCAGCCAAAUUGGAGUUUGAAAACUCUACACAAUAACGGAUGUCGGCGAUUAAAAAGAAGUUUGAUUUACAAGUUUAGGAGAAGGUGGGGAGAAGUAAAUAUUCGAUUAUCGACUCACGGACACACGAUCGAUUUAAAGAAGCUCGUCAAGUGAAUCAGCAAGUGACGACAAGAAAUUUGCAACAAUGGGCAUUAUCCGCUGCAAGUCAAUAACCCAACUUUGAGUUCAAAGCUUCCAAUUCUUGGGUCGAGAAGUUCAAACGAAUACAUUCAUCAACGAAAAAUAACAAAAUAUAUAUCUGAAAAAGAAACAGCGUCUAUGGAGGAAAUCUUAGCUUCUGCGGAAAAUUUUCGCAUACAGGCCAAAUUAUAUGAUCAAUACUGAUCAAACAGGUAUUUACAAUUAAUACCUGUUUAAUUUACCCUGUUUAAACCUUUUAUAAUUAAUAUAUAGUACAAGAAUAUUUAUUAAAUACAACACUUUUAAAAUUAUUUACCCUCGCAACAAAAGGAUCAAAAGCAGUUCUUAUUCAAAGACAACACAUUAAUAACAACUCACUCGUAUACAGCUCAAUAUAGCAUUACGUUAGCUGGAAAAUUGUUACCAGUAGUAUUUGUAUGUUUACAAGAACCAGGAGAUGCUUUCGGGCCUCGAGUGCAAAAGUUAGUGGACGAAUACGGCAAAACAUAUAACAACGUCACCGUAACAUUGUCAAAAUCGGGAAAACUAACAACUAACCUCUAUAAAGACUUUUUAAUAAAAGCUAUAAAGCCAUAUGUAAAAAACCAGAAGUUUUGCAUGUUUGUUGAUUCUUUGGGGAGGGCAAACGAAGCCAGAAAUAUACGACCAAAGCUUUGUUGAUGAUAAGCGUUUGUCAACAUGUAGUACUAAGUUUAUUACCACAAAAUAUACACCAUUAGUACAACCUUGUGAUGUUUAUUUUUACAGGCAGGUAUUAUAGUCAACUUUAUUUUAUUGCAUUUUAAAUUUCUAUUUCAUUUGCAUUUCUAUUUGCAUACACUGUCAAUAAAUCAAGGUGCGGCGAAGAUUCGAGAAAAUAAAAUGCAUAAUAUAUUAUUUGCAUUCUAUAACAACUUUAUAUUCGUCUAAUUACGUAUAAACGUUUAAGUUAUUGUUGUUGCGCAACACGCAUUCUAACUUUUUUCAAGGUUGUUCCCGAUAGUAUAAACGGUUAACAUUUUCAUAUAGAAGUCAGUUGUUACCUUCUACUACUGCUCACACCGCUCGCUGACGUUAUAAAGCAACUCAAGCUAGUAUGUCACGUUUAAAUCAGUUAUAGAGCAGUAUCAAUUUGUCCCGAAGAAGAACAUAUCUGAAUUAGAAGUGAAUAAAUUAUAUGUGAUUUAAGUCUGUCAAGCGGAUUACAUCAUCUACAUGGCCAUCAGUUGUUGAUUUGUAGGAUGGUUUAUUCGUAUUUUUACCAAAACGUAUCGCGGAGGUUUAUUAAUCUUAUUGUAUUAUUAAAUUUAUGUUUUAAUUAAUAAAUUAAUAUUUAUUUUUGUU